rnacentral:tRNA from 1 species
AGCUCAGAUGGUAAAGCAUCUGCCUGCAAUGCUGGAGACCCAGGUUCAAUCCCUGG